rnacentral:rRNA from 1 species
UCUUCCACAAUGGACGAAAGUCUGAUGGAGCAACGCCGCGUGAGUGAAGAAGGUUUUAGGAUCGUAAAACUCUGUUGUUGGAGAAGAACAGGGACUAGAGUAACUGUUAGUCCUUUGACGGUAUCCAACCAGAAAGCCACGGCUAACUACGUGCCAGCAGCCGCGGUAAUACGUAGGUGGCAAGCGUUGUCCGGAUUUAUUGGGCGUAAAGCGAGCGCAGGCGGUUUUUUAAGUCUGAUGUGAAAGCCUUCGGCUUAACCGAAGAAGUGCAUUAGAAACUGGGAAACUUGAGUGCAGAAGAGGACAGUGGAACUCCAUGUGUAGCGGUGAAAUGCGUAGAUAUAUGGAAGAACACCAGUGGCGAAGGCGGCUGUCUGGUCUGUAACUGACGCUGAGGCUCGAAAGUAUGGGGAGCGAACAG